rnacentral:rRNA from 1 species
ACUGGGACUGAAACACGGCCCAAACUCCUACGGGAGGCAGCAGUAGGGAAUCUUCCGCAAUGGACAAAAGUCUGACGGAGCAACGCCGCGUGAGUGAUGAAGGUUUUCGGAUCGUAAAACUCUGUUGUUAGGGAAGAACAAGUACCGUUCGAAUAGGGCGGUACCUUGACGGUACCUAACCAGAAAGCCACGGCUAACUACGUGCCAGCAGCCGCGGUAAUACGUAGGUGGCAAGCGUUGUCCGGAAUUAUUGGGCGUAAAGCGCGCGCAGGCGGUUUCUUAAGUCUGAUGUGAAAGCCCCCGGCUCAACCGGGGAGGGUCAUUGGAAACUGGGGAACUUGAGUGCAGAAGAGGAGAGUGGAAUUCCACGUGUAGCGGUGAAAUGCGUAGAGAUGUGGAGGAACACCAGUGGCGAAGGCGACUCUCUGGUCUGUAACUGACGCUGAGGCGCGAAAGCGUGGGGAGCGAACAGGAUUAGAUACCCUGGUAGUCCACGCCGUAAACGAUGAGUGCUAAGUGUUAGAGGGUUUCCGCCCUUUAGUGCUGCAGCAAACGCAUUAAGCACUCCGCCUGGGGAGUACGGUCGCAAGACUGAAACUCAAAGGAAUUGACGGGGGCCCGCACAAGCGGUGGAGCAUGUGGUUUAAUUCGAAGCAACGCGAAGAACCUUACCAGGUCUUGACAUCCUCUGACAACCCUAGAGAUAGGGCUUCCCCUUCGGGGGCAGAGUGACAGGUGGUGCAUGGUUGUCGUCAGCUCGUGUCGUGAGAUGUUGGGUUAAGUCCCGCAACGAGCGCAACCCUUGAUCUUAGUUGCCAGCAUUCAGUUGGGCACUCUAAGGUGACUGCCGGUGACAAACCGGAGGAAGGUGGGGAUGACGUCAAAUCAUCAUGCCCCUUAUGACCUGGGCUACACACG